rnacentral:rRNA from 1 species
UUGGAGGGCAAGUCUGGUGCCAGCAGCCGCGGUAAUUCCAGCUCCAAUAGCGAAUAUUAAAGUUGUUGCAGUUAAAAAGCUCGUAGUUGAAUUUCGGGAUCAAUGUUUCGGUCAUGCCGUUGGUAUGUACUGAUACUAUUGAUUUCUCACCUUCUAAAGAACCGUAAUGCCAUUAAUUUGGUGUCACGGGGAAUUAGGACUGUUACCUUGAAAAAAUUAGAGUGUUUAAAGCAGGCUCACGCUUGAAUACAUUAGCAUGGAAUAAUGAAAUAGGACAUCCGAUUCUAUUUUGUUGGUUUCUAGGAUCGAUGUAAUGAUUAAUAGGGAUAGUUGGGGGCAUUAGUAUUCAAUUGUCAGAGGUGAAAUUCUUGGAUUUAUUGAAGACUAACUACUGCGAAAGCAUUUGCCAAGGAUGUUUUCAUUAAUCAAGAACGAAAGUUAGGGGAUCGAAGACGAUCAGAUACCGUCGUAGUCUUAACCAUAAACUAUGCCGACUAGGGAUCGGAUGAUGUUAAUUUUUUAAUGACUCAUUCGGCGCCUUACGGGAAAC